UAUCUCUGUAGAGUCUGCAUAUCAAUAAGCGGAGGAAAAGAAACUAACUAAGGAUUCCCUUAGUAACGGCGAGUGAAGCGGGAAGAGCUCAAAUUUGAAAUCUUCAAGGUUCUACCUUGACGAAUUGUAGUUUAUAGAAGUGUUUUCUGUUAGUAGAGUGGCAAAAGUUCUUUGGAAUAGGACAUCAUAGAGGGUGAGAAUCCCGUAUUUGGUCAUUCUUUCUAGCUUUGUGAUACACUUUCAACGAGUCGGAUUGUUUGGGAAUGCAGUCCAAAAUGGGUGGUAAAUUUCAUCUAAAGCUAAAUAUUGGCGAGAGACCGAUAGCGAACAAGUACCGUGAGGGAAAGAUGAAAAGAACUUUGAAAAGAGAGUUAAACAGUACGUGAAAUUGUCAAAAGGGAAGCGUUUGACACCAGUGUUGUUUUUCCGAAAAUCAAUUACGAAUGUUUUGUUUUUGAGGAGUUAUGACUUCAUCGGCUUGCUUCUUUCUUUACAAAACUUUCUUAAUGCACUUUUCGGUUAACAAGUCAACAUCAAUUUCUUUUGUUGUAAAAGGGUACGAGGAAGGUGGCUUUCUUUUCGGAGAAAGUGUUUAUAGCCUUGUGCCUCUGCAAUCGGAGAGAUUGAGGUCUGCAGCGUAGAUCCUUCGGGGUUAGAUACAUUUGUGCUAAGUUAUAGUUUUUCAUAGACAACAUGUUGACUAUGAUUAGUCAUGUAGCUUACUCGCUUAUGCUAUUUUACCUACGCUUAGGAUGUUGAUGUGAUACUGCGAGC
rnacentral:rRNA from 1 species